rnacentral:lncRNA from 1 species
AUUAAUGGACCCAUCUCUGGAUAGCCCCCCUAUGCCAGAUGGAACAUGCCAGCAAGCACACAGUGCCAGAUGUGAAAAAAGAAGCAUAUAGCCUAGUGGCUGCUAGCGGACAACUUGCAACCAGCCUGUGGUCAAAACAGACACAUGGAAGAGAGCAGAGCCAAAGGAAAUAGAAGAAAACAGCCCUGACAAACCCCCAGCAUCUGUGGACACCGACUUUUAGAAAGAAGAGUAAUAUAAAUGUUAAGUUAGAUCACUUAAACUGUACAACAUGAAAAGUGGAAGUGGAACACAGGUGCUCACAGUUUCCCUCUCCAUCUCGCCAUCUCUCUCCCCAGAGGCACUCGCUAUGUACCAAGUCUAAUAUUGGUCUAUGGUAUGACUUUUAAUGCCUCUACUUACUGCUGAAAGUUUUUAUCAAGUGGAAACAAGUCAAACACCCUUGGAUAGCUUUUUAAGGAGACCAUGCUACCCAAAUCUUAUCCAAACACAAAUGUUCUAAAUCAUCCAAUAAAGUUAUUGUUUAU